AUGGCGGAAGAACGGCGGGAGAGGGGCGGUGCAGCUGCCGGUGCAUCUCCAUCCCCCGCGGCGCACCCCGCCUCAUCCAUCCUCGGGCCCCCCUCUGUCCUGUGUCGCCGCGCCCCCGCGCCGCUCUCCCAUUUCCCUCGUCCCGUGCGGCCGUGCCACAAGCCCCCCUCUCGCCGCCGCAAGCCGUGCGGCCCCGCGGGUCCCCGCACCGCGCCGGCCCAUUGCCAAGUUCAAUGCCAAGGUCAUGCGCGCGCGAGUGCGACUGCGCGCCGCAAUGCAGGAGCGGUCGGCGGCAGGCGGCAGGCGGCCACCUCGCCGUCGCCCGUCAGUGCCUCACCGGCGAUCGCGCUAAACACCGCAUCGCAAUUUUCCACACACGAUGCGUUCCAGUGGCUCACCUGACAAAUAAUAAUUACAGUUCCGUAACGUGAACCGUUGUGAAUCGCGGUGCAUAUCGGCGGUGCGGUGGUUAUACGUCGAUGGUGUUGUUCCGCGACGUGACGGAAUCUGUUGAAUACAUCAAUGUGGCCGCUCCGCCGACGCCGACGCCGACACCACCGCCGCGACCAGCGGCAGCGGUGCCGGGACCACGCCAUGCAACUACAUUAUGCAACUUACAUCUGACACAUGCGCUGCAGUAUCCGAUGUUAUGGUUAAAAGAAGAUUUCAUCUGAAGGUACUGAACGGGAGUUAAACGCCGCGCCGCAUCGUGAGCCUUAACUACAAACAUCGUUGGUAGCAACAUUUAAGUAAAAAAUUAGUACUAAAAAAAUUUCUACACAUUAUGCAGUAUAUUCCUAACUUGAAAUUGGCAUAAUGUACAUCAAUUGCCAUUAUAAAAAAUGGAGUAUAGUAAAAUAUAAUUCUUAUAAUAUUUAUAGUACUCGAUGCUAAAUUGACUAUAAAUGCGAAUUCAAACUACUAUUUUAAUAUAAAGAAGAUAAUGAAUAGUUAUUUACAAUUUUGGAAAUUACUUUUAUGACAGUUUUAAUUCGAUUUCUAAUGCCUAAGCCUAAGACUGCAGGAGCAAACCUUCGCAAGUCAACAGAAUUAUAGGGAUCUAUCUCUACUACGACGGUAUAGAGCAGUUUUCUGUUGCAGUCUAUAGGCCAUGGUCUUAUAUAUGUUUUAUAUUUAUCGAGGAAAGCAUGACAGCAUUCCUCCAGGAACGUCAUAAAACUCAUGGGAGCCUAACUCGAGAGUGAUUGAUCGAAGAAAUACAAACGUUACAGGUCAUUUAGUCUUGAGUAUGGGCUUCCGGUGCUGGUGGCCUUCUCCUUGGCAAGAACUUACGAAUGGAGAUUCAGAAGAGAAAAGAAGAUAAGGUUGGCCGCGUUGGCAGUGUGGUUAGCUGGUUGUUUAUGUCAUAACAACAGCCACUAGCGACACUGCCUCUGCGUGCAACCUAAAGCAUCGAAGACUACUAGAAAAAACCAACAGUUUGCCAUUUUUGUAUUGAUUCAGAUUUGUAAUUUGAUUUGUAUAUGAAUGUACGCUUAGUCUAGCCUUUAUUUACUUAUAUAUAUAUGGAUUGUACAUGUUACUUUUUGUUGAAAUUGCUGAAUGUUAAGCUCUGCAUUGUAGAUAGAGAGUUAGGAUAAGAUGUUAAAUAUGUUUUGCGAAGCGAUUGUAUGAACGAUCUAAUUUUAACGAGUCUAAUGAUUGAUCUUAUAAGAUUUGCAGGUUCAAAGAAGAGUGAAGAAAGGUACAAUGAAAGAAAGGUCAAUGAUGAAGGUAGAGCUCUACAUUAAGAACUAGCUUCUGCUUGUGGUUCCGCAUACAUGGAAAUUCUGUUCCUGAGAUUAAAAAGUAGCCUAGUACUCAUGAAUAAUGUGGCUUCCUAAUCGUGAAAGAAUGAUUAAUUGAAAUGUCGGUGCAUUAGUUCUAAAGAAUUAUAGCGUGCUCAGAGAAACAAAAUUAUAUGAUACAAAAAAUAGUAUAUAUAAUGUAAUAAAUUGUCAUAAAAUCCAUUACGAUGGUUUAGUUAUCGCUUUAUGAACUGUAAAAAUUUAGUUACAUUUUCGACACCUUGAAGUUAUUGGCAUCCUUCAUGCUUUAUAUCGACUAAAGAAUAUCCUUUCUUGUAAAACCAAUAACAUGCUUGCGCAACCUUAAUCCUUCCUGUGUAGACUGCGGUGAUCCAAUGUUGUUCUGGAUGCAGAUCUGCUCAACAAACGUGAGACUUCUGAAUACCAUCGAUUAACUUUUAAUAUCAAGUAUGACCAUGUUUCUCGUUGCCGCUCUCAAUUUAAGUAGUUGCCAUUUUUGAACGCUGAAAUCUUACUUUUUUAUCACCCCUACUUCUCCCUUUCACUUAAUAUUUUAAUUUCAAUGUACAGCAUUUACCAACGAGAAACCUACGCUCUGCAGGCAAUCUUCCCUAUAUCCUUACAGUUCCAACAUCACUCACAGGUCUUUUACUGUGCAGUCUAUAAAACUUUGGAAUACGCUUCUUUUAAAAAACGGGGCAGCCACUAACACAUAGACUUUUAAAUCAAUAGUCUGGAUGCUUUUCGUUAAUAGUGCAGCAGAUUUAUAACCAUAUACUUAAGUUUCAAAAAGUUAUGUUAUAUUUAUAGAAUCUGGAUAUGUAUUUGUAUUUAUGCGGGUAUUUUAAUAUGUAUUCAUGUAUUAUCUUAUAGCUGUUAUAAGUUAAUUUAUGUACCUAGUAUGUCUCAUUUUUGUUGGAUAUACACGCACAGUGUCGCCUUGACCCUACCCAAAGAUUUCAAUAAACGAUCCCGAUCUUAAUCUGCGAUUCAAUCUCGAGAAUGAACCAAUUCUGAUUGGUCCAUUUUCGCGAUCGAUCAAAAAAGAGCGACUGGGAUUGUUUACUACAAUCGGCGGAUAUUUGAAAUUAUUUUGUGAUUGACUAAAUUUUGCCUAACUUGAUAUUGGUAUAAUGUAACACAAUUGCCACAACAAAAAAAACACAAAUUUGCCCGAGUCAGACAUUAAAAUCAGGACUUCACCAGUCGAAAAGGUACUAUUAUUUUAUGUAUAUACCAUAUAUACAUGUUACUUACUGAUGUAAUUAAUUAAUUAAUACACAAAAUGUAAUUUUCGUCUAUAUUUAUAUUGAACCGGUGCUUUAAUAAGGCUAAGAGAGCAAAUCGUGGCUCUUAAUGAUAUUAUCUACGUUAAUGUCAAGCCGCAAGGAUAAUGCUUGAAUUUAUUUAAGUGCAUUAGAGCCUGCGCACGCGCAUCGGAAUGGAGACGGGUAACAUCUCACUUGAUGGACAGAUUUAUAGAUGUCUCUUUGAAAUGUCUUACAUAAUACAUACAAUUACAUAUAUUCUUGUAAAUCAUUAAAAUACGAGCAUUACAUUUGUCAAUAAAUCACUGUGCACUACAAAUUGUGCAUUAUAAAUCAAUUGUUCUUAUUUAUAUACUGCUCUGGACAUGAAUCAAAUAAAUGAAACAUGAAGACAUCGGAAUCAUCGCCUGCGUUAAUGGGAUAUCCGCCAAGUGCCAACCCAUUUACACGUGUACGAAAUACAGUAGUAUUACUAUGUAUGUAAUUAUAUAUUUAUGUCUAAACUAUAAUUAUGUUCAUAUGGUCCGACCUCGAAGAGACUAUGCGCGGAAUUAAAAGUUAAAUGAUUUGAUUUCUGUAUGUUACGCUAAUUACAUUGGAUUUUACCUGAAAAUUGUAAUAUAUUUUAUAUCUAUAUUUAUACAUGGAAAGGUAAAGUUUUGUUGCUGAUAAAACAUUGUUUAGUGUUUAUUCUCUCUAGAAUAAAUAAUGUUGAUUCUGAAUUCGAGAUUUAAAAAUGUUAUAAUUAAAAUUUUGUAAAAACCUCAACGUAUACCGUUUCUAAGUGACUUAAGUAUUUGUAUGUAAAAAAAAUAUAAAAGAGAACGCAUUUUUUUUACAGCCAUUUUUAAUAAAGCUAGAUACAAUUUUUGUCUCAAUUUUCAAGCCAUUGGUCUCAAUUAGUUGUAACUAUAUGAUUAUAAUAUUAUUAUUAUUAAAAUUGAAUAACUAGUGUUUUUAGCCACCAUUUCCCAGAAUCAUUAAUAAAAAUCCCAAUGUUCAAAUUCCUUUACAUUCUAGGUGCAGGACACCGGGUUUUGCAGAUGUAAGGCUUUAUUUUCUAAUCUUAUAUUAAGGUUACCAUGGUCGUGGUUAUAUGGUUGCAUUAUAUGGGUAGCUGUUUAAUGCUGUAUUGUUUUUUUUAGUAAAAAUCUAUCAUUAUUUCGUGUGUUAUUAUCGUGUAACAGGUAAAAUAAAUUUUAUGUGCAUUAAUGACUGAAAUAUAAAGUGUAUUGUUUUGUUUAUAAAUACAAUUUUCAUUAAUAAUAUUGUUUUAUUUUUUACCCCAGAUUGCCUUAUCCUUUAUACAUUACCUACAUCAUGGCAAAAUAUUCAUGUGAUAUAUAAGAAUAAUGAUUGUAAAUACAGGCUUAGAAUUCUUGAACAUUAAAGUGAAAUGAAAUAAUUUAUUUGAAUUUUAAACUCUACCACCACUUCCGAAAGCAAUAAUUUACAAAAUACAAAAUCACAAAUGCGUUUUAAGAAUGAAAAAAUGUUCUGUGGAGUGAAUCCUAAACAACUGAAUAGAAUGGGGGACUCCUAUGCGCUAUAGACCUAUGGCACUAACUCCACCGUUCCGUACUUUGGGGUAAAGUAAAAUCAAAUAUAUGGAAAACAUUCAAUGACUAAUUUGCAAAUAUCACCUGAGAAUAAUUUGUACU
rnacentral:miRNA from 1 species